GGCACUUUGCGGGUGCUAUACAUGCAAGUCGAGCGGACAGAUGGGAGCUUGCUCCCUGAUGUUAGCGGCGGACGGGUGAGUAACACGUGGGUAACCUGCCUGUAAGACUGGGAUAACUCCGGGAAACCGGGGCUAAUACCGGAUGGUUGUCUGAACCGCAUGGUUCAGACAUAAAAGGUGGCUUCGGCUACCACUUACAGAUGGACCCGCGGCGCAUUAGCUAGUUGGUGAGGUAACGGCUCACCAAGGCGACGAUGCGUAGCCGACCUGAGAGGGUGAUCGGCCACACUGGGACUGAGACACGGCCCAGACUCCUACGGGAGGCAGCAGUAGGGAAUCUUCCGCAAUGGACGAAAGUCUGACGGAGCAACGCCGCGUGAGUGAUGAAGGUUUUCGGAUCGUAAAGCUCUGUUGUUAGGGAAGAACAAGUGCCGUUCAAAUAGGGCGGCACCUUGACGGUACCUAACCAGAAAGCCACGGCUAACUACGUGCCAGCAGCCGCGGUAAUACGUAGGUGGCAAGCGUUGUCCGGAAUUAUUGGGCGUAAAGGGCUCGCAGGCGGUUUCUUAAGUCUGAUGUGAAAGCCCCCGGCUCAACCGGGGAGGGUCAUUGGAAACUGGGGAACUUGAGUGCAGAAGAGGAGAGUGGAAUUCCACGUGUAGCGGUGAAAUGCGUAGAGAUGUGGAGGAACACCAGUGGCGAAGGCGACUCUCUGGUCUGUAACUGACGCUGAGGAGCGAAAGCGUGGGGAGCGAACAGGAUUAGAUACCCUGGUAGUCCACGCCGUAAACGAUGAGUGC
rnacentral:rRNA from 1 species